UCUCCGUUGGUGAACCAGCGGAGGGAUCAUUACCGAGUGUAAAAACUCCCAAACCAUUGUGAACCUACCACUGUUGCUUCGGCGGCCUCGCCCCGGGCGCGUUCGCGCGGCCCGGACCCAGGCGUCCGCCGGAGGCUCCAAACUCUUGUCUUUUAGUGUAUUUCUGAGUGGCAUAAGCAAAUAAGUCAAAACUUUCAACAACGGAUCUCUUGGUUCUG
rnacentral:misc_RNA from 1 species